rnacentral:rRNA from 1 species
GACGAACGCUGGCGGCGUGCUUAACACAUGCAAGUCGAACGGAAAGGCCCUGCUUUUGUGGGGUGCUCGAGUGGCGAACGGGUGAGUAACACGUGAGUAACCUGCCCUUGACUUUGGGAUAACUUCAGGAAACUGGGGCUAAUACCGGAUAGGAGCUCCUGCUGCAUGGUGGGGGUUGGAAAGUUUCGGCGGUUGGGGAUGGACUCGCGGCUUAUCAGCUUGUUGGGGGGGUAGUGGCUUACCAAGGCUUUGACGGGUAGCCGGCCUGAGAGGGUGACCGGCAAUUUUGGGACUGAGCUACGCCCCGAACUCCACGGGGAGCCAGAGGUGGGAAUUUUUGAACAAGGGGGGGAAGACGAACCAAGCACCGCCGGGGGCGGGUGGGCGGCUUUGGGUUUUAAACCGGUUUUCUCGUGGCACGAGGUGUGAGUGACGUUAAUGGGAAAAGAAGCACCGGCUAACUACGUG